rnacentral:rRNA from 1 species
AUUGAACGCUGGCGGCAGGCCUAACACAUGCAAGUCGAGCGGAUGAAGGGAGCUUGCUCCUGGAUUCAGCGGCGGACGGGUGAGUAAUGCCUAGGAAUCUGCCUGGUAGUGGGGGAUAACGUCCGGAAACGGGCGCUAAUACCGCAUACGUCCUGAGGGAGAAAGUGGGGGAUCUUCGGACCUCACGCUAUCAGAUGAGCCUAGGUCGGAUUAGCUAAUUGGUGGGGUAAAGGCCUACCAAGGCGACGAUCCGUAACUGGUCUGAGAGGAUGAUCAGUCACACUGGAACUGAGACACGGUCCAGACUCCUACGGGAGGCAGCAGUGGGGAAUAUUGGGCAAUGGGCGAAAGCCUGAUCCAGCCAUGCCGCGUGUGUGAAGAAGGUCUUCGGAUUGUAAAGCACUUUAAGUUGGGAGGAAGGGCAGUAAGUUAAUACCUUGCUGUUUUGACGUUACCAACAGAAUAAGCACCGGCUAACUUCGUG